rnacentral:rRNA from 1 species
AUUGAACGCUAGCGGGAUGCCUUACACAUGCAAGUCGAACGGAGUGGCGAACGGGUGCGUAAUGUAUAGGACCGUGCACAGUAGCGGGGGAUAACUACGCGAACGCGUAGCUAAAACCGCAUACUAUUGGAGCGGCCGAUAUCGGAUUAGCUAGUUCGUGGGGUAACGGCUCAGCAAGGCGAUGAUCCGUAGCUGGUUUGAGAGGAAGACCAGCCACACUGGGACUGAGACACGGCCCAGACUCAUACGGGAGGCAGCAGUGGGGAAUUUGGGACAAUGGGGGAAACCCUGAUCCAGCCAUCCCGCGUGUGCGAGGAAGGCCUUCGGGUUGUAAAGCACUUUUGGCAGGAAAGCGGUACCUGCAGAAGAAGCACCGGCUAACUACGUGCCAGCAGCCGCGGUAAUUC